rnacentral:lncRNA from 1 species
AGAACGCUUGCCAUGACAGCUAUAAAUUGUCCUAUCUUUUCAGGCGUACAAAAGAGUAAUGACAACUGUCUUGUAGACGUUUGCUUUUGUGUGAAGUCGGAUGUUGCCUUCAUUCCAGACACACCGCAUUCAUCUCCCCAGGGCUCCCCGUUUGUGCUUGGCAGGCAUGCCUUUCCAAGGCAACACAUUGCCAAGGUAGCAGAGUUUCUUCACCAGUGUCAGUACUGCAUUGUUGACUGCCUUUAUUUGCUUGCCACCAAGGCAUUUCUGUUUAAUGCUGGCAUUUGUCCUACCUAGGCAACUAGUAAUGAUCAGAAUAUUUUUGAGUAUGUAUACAACUGAGAAAUUAUUGCUAGAAAACAGCAGGUUGCAGGCCAGCAGCUCUGGGAUUUUUUGCUGUAGAGAACCUCAUGAGAAUGGCUAUAAUGAAUCAGACCUCAAACCAAACCAUAUCAGUUGGGGAUCUAAGCCAAUUCUUUUCACCUUUAGUUAUCACUUAUGUCCUUGAAUGACUAGGUCAAACUAGAAACAUACAUUUGUCAAGACAAAAACAUGAACUUUUGUUUCACAUCCUGCAGUGAUGAUAGGUGGAUCCAUUCAGUACGCCUUCAUAACUGGUUUGAAGAGAUACAGUACAACACAGGCAAUAUGAGAAAUGGCAUUUAUCUCCAAAUUCUAUCAAAUGACAAGGAAGACAUGUACAUAAGGGGGCCACAGAAACAGGUUGUUCUAGUCUAACUGCACAAUGUCUGUGGAGAGUCUAGAUGUGGACUGUGUAGCUCAGUGCAAGGUACAUUAACUCUGUUCUUUACUUGCGUGAUCACAGUGUAACCGUACUAUGUAUGUGUGCAUAUCUCUUUGUAUUUUUACUAGAAAGAAAAUUUAAUGAAUGCCAUCAUCUUCUUUGUAGGCAGGAUCCUCAUGAUUUUCUCAGAUGUCUUCUUCAGUCCUGAAGAUUUUAUUUGUUCACUCAGCUGGAUUGCUCCUAGCAGUGCAACAUUGGAAAUUCGAGCUGUGCCAUACUGUAUAGAAAAAACAGGUCAGCGUGAAACCAGUUCCAAGCCCAACCUCACACAAGGCAACCAGACAAGGCUGAAGUGCUGCCACGUACUGCAGACAGCCAGAAGACUUUGCAGAGCCAAAGGAAAGCCCUAUUUACAGGCUAGAGAACAGUGGAGCAGAAAAAAGGAGUUAGCAAAAAGGCAUUUGAGAAUUUAUUUCAAAUGCAUGUUCAGUUAUUAUCCUUCCAUCAAAGGAUCUCAAAAUGCCUUUAAACUGCUGGCAACUGCCCCAGAAGUUACCUUUGCUGUAGGCAUUAUUAAGCCCUUGAAAAGCCAAGAUGUAAGCGGUGGGUGACUUUUCACUCAAGGUUAUUCUGCAAGUCAGGAGCAGAGACAGACAGACUGUUCUAUACGUGCUACGUGCUUUGGAGAAGCAUUUGGCUGCUGCAGUAGUGCAUGUGGGAGGAGAGAGAGGAAGGACAUCUGUGAACUUCAUCACAAGAAAGGUUCCCAGCAUCAUGGGACUCCAGGCAAUGCAAAACAAUUUCCUAAUCCUGCACAAAAAUACUGAAUCACAAAGUUAUCUUUCAUUAACGUAAUGUUAUUCCCUUUCAUGUGUUCACCCCUUGUACCAUUCAUUCUGAUUUGUCUGAGUUUAGAUACAAUUUUUUAAUUGACUUUUUUCUCUUGUAUUUGUCUUCCAAAUGUGACUGAGCAUGUCUGUGCCGUG